GACGAACGCUGGCGGCGUGCUUAACACAUGCAAGUCGAACGAAGUGGCGAACGGGUGAGUAACGCGUAAUCAACCUGCCCUUCAGCGGGGGACAACAGUUGGAAACGACUGCUAAUACCGCAUACUGAAGGAGGGGAUUGCGUCGGAUUAGCUAGGUGGAGGGGUCACGGCCCACCAAGGCGAUGAUCAGUAGCCUGUCUGAGAGGAUGAACGGCCACAUUGGGACUGAGAAACGGCCCAGACUCCUACGGGAGGCAGCAGUUGGGAAUAUGUCGCAAUGGACGAAAGUCUGACGGAGCAACGCCGCGUGAGUGAGGAAGGCCUUCGGGUUGGAAAGCUCUGUUAAGCGGGACGCGGUACCGGAAGAGAAAGCCACGGCUAACUACGUGCCAGCCGCCGCGGUAAUUC
rnacentral:rRNA from 1 species